rnacentral:tRNA from 1 species
GAUUAUGUGGCCGAGUGGUCUAUGGCGCUGGUUUUAGGCACCAGUCUCUUCUGAGGCAAGGGUUCGAAUCCCUUCAUAAUCU